GAUGAACGCUAGCGGCAGGCUUAAUACAUGCAAGUCGAGGGGCAGCAUGGUGGUAGCAAUACCACUGAUGGCGACCGGCAAACGGGUGCGGAACACGUACGCAACUUACCCUUAACUGGGGGAUAGCCCGGGGAAACCCGGAUUAAUACCUCGUAACAUAUUGUGGUGGCAUCACCAUAUUAUUAUAGCUUUAUUGUGGUUAAGGAUGGGCGUGCGGCUGAUUAGGUAGUUGGCAGGGUAACGGCCUACCAAGCCUGCGAUCAGUAACUGGUGUGAGAGCACGACCAGUCACACGGGCACUGAGACACGGGCCCGACUCCUACGGGAGGCAGCAGUAAGGAAUAUUGGUCAAUGGACGCAAGUCUGAACCAGCCAUGCCGCGUGGAGGAUGAAGGCCCUCUGGGUUGUAAACUUCUUUUAUCUGGGACGAACCACCUUUUUCUAAGGUGUUGACGGUACCAGAGGAAUAAGCACCGGCUAACUCCGUGCCAGCAGCCGCCGCUGUAA
rnacentral:rRNA from 1 species